AUUGAACGCUGGCGGCAUGCCUUACACAUGCAAGUCGAACGGCAGCACGGGAGCAAUCCUGGUGGCGAGUGGCGAACGGGUGAGUAAAGUAUCGGAACGUGCCCAGUCGUGGGGGAUAACGUAGCGAAAGCUACGCUAAUACCGCAUACGAUCUAUGGACGAAAGCGGGGGAUCGUAAGACCUCGCGCGAUUGGAGCGGCCGAUAUCAGAUUAGGUAGUUGGUGGGGUAAAGGCCCACCAAGCCGACGAUCUGUAGCUGGUCUGAGAGGACGACAAGCCACACUGGGACUGAGACACGGCCCAGACUCCUACGGGAGGCAGCAGUGGGGAAUUUUGGACAAUGGGCGCAAGCCUGAUCCAGCAAUGCCGCGUGCAGGAUGAAGGCCUUCGGGUUGUAAACUGCUUUUGUACGGAGCGAAAAGGCUCUCACUAAUACUGGGGGCUCAUGACGGUACCGUAAGAAUAAGCACCGGCUAACUACGUGCCAGCCGCCGCUGUAA
rnacentral:rRNA from 1 species